UAUUGCUUUGCUCAUGUCGGUCUGUCGGUCGGUCAGUCCGUCCACCAGGUGGUUGUCAGACGAUAACUCAAGAACGCUUGGGCCUAGGAUCAUGAAACUUCAUAGGUACAUUGAUCAUGACUCGCAGAUGACCCCUAUUGAUUUUGAGGUCAAAGGUCAAGGUCACGGUGACCAGAAAUAGUAAAAUGGUUUUUGAAUGAUAACUCAAGAACGCAUACGCCUAGGAUCAUGAAACUUCAUGGGUAGAUUGAUCAUGACUCGCUGAUGACCCCUAUUGAUUUUGAGGUCACUAGGUCAAAGGUCAAGGUCACGGUGACCCGAAAUAGUAAAAUGGUUUCCGGAUGAUAACUCAAGAAUGCAUACGCCUAGGAUCAUGAAACUUCAUGGGUAGAUUGAUCAUGACUCGCAGAUGACCCCUAUUGAUUUUGAGGUCACUAGGUCAAAGGUCAAGGUCACGGUGACCCGAAAUAGUAAAAUGGUUUCCGGAUGAUAACUCAAGAACGCAUACGCCUAGGAUCAUGAAACUUCAUGGGUAGAUUGAUCAUGACUUGCAGAUGACCCCUAUUGAUUUUGAGGUCACUAGGUCAAAGGUCACGGUGACCCGAAAUAGUAAAAUGGUUUCCGGAUGAUAACUCAAGAAUGCAUACGCCUAGGAUCAUGAAACUUCAUGGGUAGAUUGAUCAUGACUCGCAGAUGACCCCUAUUGAUUUUGAGGUCACUAGGUCAAAGGUCAAGGUCACGGUGACCCGAAAUAGUAAAAUGGUUUUCGGAUGAUAACUCAAGAAUGCAUACGCCUAGGAUCAUGAAACUUCAUGGGUAGAUUGAUCAUGACUCGCAGAUGACCCCUAUUGAUUUUGAGGUCACUAGGUCAAAGUUCAAGGUCACGGUGACCCGAAAUAGUAAAAUGGUUUCCGGAUGAUAACUCAAGAAUGCAUACGCCUAGGAUCAUGAAACUUCAUGGGUAGAUUGAUCAAGACUUGCAGAUGACCCCUAUUGAUUUUGAGGUCACAAGGUCAAAGGUCAAGGUCACGGUGACCCGAAAUAGUAAAAUGAUUUUCGGAUGAUAACUCAAGAACGCUUUUGCCUAGGAUCAUGACACUUCAUAGGUACAUUGAUCGUGACUCGCAGAUGACCCCUAUUGAUUUUCAGGUCACUAGGUCCAAGGUCAAGGUCACAGUGACAAAAAACGUAUUCACACAAUGGCUGCCACUACAACGGACAGCCCAUAUGGGGGGCAUGCAUGUUUUACAAACAGCCCUU